rnacentral:rRNA from 1 species
UACAGAGGUGGCAAGCGUUGUUCGGAAUUACUGGGCGUAAAGGGCGUGUAGGCGGUCUUCUAAGUCAGACGUGAAAUCCCCCGGCUUAACCUGGGUACUGCGUCUGAUACUGGGAGGCUUGAGUAUGGGAGAGGGAUGUAGAAUUCCAGGUGUAGCGGUGAAAUGCGUAGAUAUCUGGAGGAAUACCGGUGGCGAAGGCGGCAUCCUGGACCAUUACUGACGCUUAAGCGCGAAAGCUAGGGGAGCAAACGGG